CACACACACACACACACACACACACUCACACACACACACGCUCUCGAAGAAACACACCUGCACAGUGUCAACACCCUCAGUUGGCAAGGCUGUUGUGUUGGGAUACUUUCUGCCAUCCCUACUGACAGUUACCCAGAACUGGACUCGUGUGGAAUCUUGGCGGCCAUCACCAGGGCCCUCAGGCUACGGAGGACCAUGAAAGAAGGUGCCAGCUCCCCGAGUGUGGAGGGGGGCCGACGGGCAGGAGGGGCUUUCUGGAUCCUAAGUGAGGUCAGUUUCCCUGACAGAGGCUCCCUCAGUAUCCUCUCCUUCCCUUUUGCAGCCUGGAUUUCAGCCUGUGAGUAUACAUUUUCUAAAAAUAAAGAUAUAACUCGCAUACAAUAAAGCUCAUCAGGUUAAAGUAUAUGAAUCUACAAAUUUUAGUAUGUUCACAGGUUGUGCAACAAUCACCAUUAUCUAGUUCCAGAAUAUUUUCAUCAACCCCAAAAGAAACCCCGUCUAUCAGCAGUCAGUCCCCAUUGAUCUGCUAGCUCCUGGCCACCACCAAUCUACUUUUUGUCUUACGGGUAUGCCCAUGCUAGACAUUUCAUAGAAGUGGAAUCAUACAAUAUGUGGUCUUUUGUGUCCAGCUUCUUUCACUUAAGUGUUUUUACAGUUCCUCCAUGUAUCAGUGCUUCAUUCCUUUCUAUGACUAAAUACUAGCCCAUUGAAAGGACAUACCACAUUUUGUUUAUUUAUUCAUCUGUUGAUGGACAUUUGGGUUGUUUCCAUUU